ensembl:lncRNA
CCAUAGUCAGAGCGGGAUUUAAGCUUUCAGGGGCCAGGAACGACAUCUAGAAGCCACAUUUGCCAGAGCACUAAGGACAGUCAUCAGAUUCUCCUCCAAGAGGUCAGUCACUUGGACCAGAAGGUAUUGCUACCAGUUCAUUUCUACCUCACACUUGAAGGAAGUGAGCCGUGAGAUUUUAUUUCUGGAUUGGACAAUAGGCUUCCUAUUGUUGGUUGGCCUGCCCGCCCACACCUGUGUCACACAGGCUAAACGCCAUCACGACAGGGCUGUCCACAGCGAAGCAUUCACUGGACACUUGAGUUUGUCUCAGAAAUGGAGCAAAAGGGAAACAAAUGGUCUCAGGGUGGACUUAGUAAAUGUGCUCCUCUGCAUCAGAGCCUUGACGGUGUCCGUGAAACCUCCUCCCUUUCACCACCAGCCAGCAUACCUAGGAGUCGCUGCUAAAGUCUGUGCAUCUCUCUAAAGCUUGUUGUUUAGUUCCUAAUAGAGAUUAUUUUUUAAAAAGGUGAAGGAGAUGGUAGGAUAAUUCUGGAUGGUUGAUGGUUUAAAACAAAAGAAAAUAAAUCCAAAAAAUACCAGGGAAACAACACCAAAAUUGCAACACAAAACUUAUGCUUGUUUUUGAACAGAGUGCGAUGAUGGUUUGUUUCCAAGGUUCUGGCUCCUGGCCAUGUCAUUGCAAUGACCAACUCUACAUACUGAAAAUUGUCUCAGCAUUCGAUAUUAUUCUCCUCUAAAUCUUGUAUGGGCAAGAAUUACUGACCUCACUCUGGAAUGGAAAUCCCUUUGGCUUAAAGGUGCCGAUGUCACCAAACUAGAAGGCAGACUACAAUCCGGAUCUUUGUUUAGCUAACAUCACCAUGACCUUUCAGGAAUGCAAAAAAUCAGGCUCUUAGUCCAUCCCUCUGAGAGCAGUUUCACUGUGGAGCAGCUUCCUGGGCAGAGGGGACAAAUUUGUACCAGACUUCUGAAGGAUGUGUUGCUCAUCCCCCCUCCCCGGGCUUGUACCUCAUGGUUCCGUGAGUCAGAAAGGCACCUGGGCUGGGGCUGGCCAGGCAGGAUGGACACUUUCAUUGCCCCUUCACACCCGCUCUGGGGGAACCGGCAGCAGAACCCAGCAGUGGCAGCCCAAAGCUAUUUACCAAGGUACAGCUUCCCGGGCAGCCACACAAGAGGAGGCCACACCCUGCUCCUCGCUGAAAAAGGACCCAGGAGGCCCGGUCUGAUCAUUAACCUUCAUGAGGACACUGAAGGUCAGCUGUGGCCAGUCCUCUCUCUUUCAACAGGCAGAAAAGCACACAUAUUCGACCUUCCACGCUUUGCAGAAUGGUGGGUAUGAAUCCAAAUUAGAUGGCCCAGAAAUGCCAAAAACUUAUUUAUGUGUCUAUCUGUCUGUGUUGUCCGACUGUACCAAUUCAGCAAUUCAAAAGGAAAAGCCUCAAAGAUGAAAAGCUUAAGUAGCUGGAGUAGGGACUCUCUCACCGAUGACAUGGACUUUGCGUUCCACCCAUUAAUCUCUAAUUUUCAAUAAAUUUGUCAAACUUAUCUCUUACCCAGCAUUUCUUUCAACAGAUUCAACAAUAACUUCAUCUCAGCGUACUUGGUAAGGAAGCUCUGAAGUGUUUGACCUAGAAAUGACACAAAGUGUUAGGUGGAAGAUUCUCUUGCCUCUUAGGACGUAGCACAAGAGCGUGUCAAGCUGAGUAUGUCCAGGGCACAGUCCCAGAGGUGGCCUUGAGCGGAGAGCUAUCUUCCAGGGAACACAGGAUAUUUCUUCUUGUAUUGCUCUUAGGGUCAACUCUGUAUCAAGAGACAGAAACCAAGAUGACUCAAAAGCCCUUGAAAAAGAGGCAGUCUCCUCUUAGAGAACUGCGUGUUUUCAUACAGCCUGUGCAGAGGGAGAGCUGUGAUUAAGGACCUGUAUUUUUUAUUUGCAGACUUUCAGUUCUGCUCUAAUUUGGCUGAAACCAUGGGUUCCGAGUUUCAUUUCCAAACGGCCAGCUUCCGGGCACGCCUUGCGGUCCCGACCAGCUACGCGGUGGCCCACGGGGCCCUGUGGUGUCUCCUGUGAGAAGGGUGGGAGCUCCCCGGGCCGGAGGAGCGACCCCCCACGGGGUCCGUGCUCACCCCACAUCCGGAGGUAGCCGGGUUCCACACCGAAUGCAGAAGUUGUAGUGGGAGAAGACGCCAUCUCGACUGCACAUGGAAUUGUGGUCUGGAGUCUGAGUGACAAUCAGAAGAUUCAGGGGAACUCGAAAGGGACCAGAUGCUUUUAGGUCAGAGAUUUAAAAUUCGGAAAGCAAAAGAAAAGAGAGAGGGGAGAGAAGAGGAGGAAGGAACUUGCAAGUGUUGCUGCAUCUUGAGAAAGGGGGAACAGGACAUGAUAGCCUUCGCUGCUCCCCUCAGUGCUGCUAAUUCAGGACCAAUUCCCUGCCAAGCAGAAGCAGGAAGCUGCUUGGAGAAAGGGCUGGGCGCCCCGGGCUGCUCCCCACGCUCCCCGUGGGUCUGUCUCAUCUGCCGCCCCCGCUCGCUCUCCAGCAGGUCUGCGGCUCACGAGGACACUCGUUAUUCCUCAGCUACACGCCAAGAGGGAUCUAGAACACUUUGGAAAAAGAACACAAAAGCCCUGGGUCUGCUGAGCAGCCUGUGAUCCGAUUAUCUGGCUUUGCCGAGGGCCGAGGGGGAGUGCUGUUUAUCUGGUCAGGGGUCGCGGUGGCAUCUCAAAGCCGCCCGGCCCCAUCCUGGGAGAAGGGCCAGCAGCAGGAGCCGCGGCAUCCAGACAGCUCCCGAGCAGAGCAGCCCACCCGGGGACACCGUCUCCUUCCGAGGGCAGGCCGAAGGGCAGGCACAGGCGCUCCGGAAGCAGGGAGAGCAUGCGGGGCGGGGCGGGGAGGGGAUUUCAGAGCUCACGGGCCGUCCUCCUCCCUCUGAAGUGUCCUGUCGGCGGGAACCAGCCUGGGGACUUCACAGCGAUGUCUGAUGUCUCUCCUCAUCGACUGCUUUCCUCCACCAGUGGACUCCACCCCUCACCGCUCUCCCAUUGGCCCUCGCUGCCUCUCGGUCUUGCCCGCCCUUCCCGUCAGGAUGUGCCAACCAUUCUUCCACUUGGACCCGGGCCUCCCACGAGACAGAUACCCCUUGCUUUCUUCUCCGAUUCUCUUUUCUCUGACACAGGCUAAAUGGCUUGGGCCACUCUUCUAAUUAGCAAUGAUCGCGCCUCAGAUAAACCUCAUUGGCUGUGCUGCUGCCACUGGGAAAACCUGGAGGCACUCGCUCUCUUAGACGUACAGUUUUACCCAGUGGUCAGAGGGCUAUCACAGAAGAUUCUUCAGGUAAAACCUACUUCUCUACAGCUGAAAACCAAAAGCUAUUUUGCUGAAUAAGCUGUCUUGUACAUUUCCCUUUUCCUUCCUGCCUUCCUACCUCUUUUCCUUCCUGCCUUCCUUCCUUCCGAUUUUUCCAUCCUCUUUACCGGCCUCCCUUCCUUCCUUCCUCUCUAGGAAUACACGCCUUUCAGUCAGACUGUCCGAGCUUGACUCUUACCGCAGUUCUUACUACACACACGAGUUUGGACCACUUUCCUAACAGUGUAUCUCUUUCUUUCUUUAUCUGUAAAAGGGGAUAAUAAUUGCACCGCCUCAUAGGACUGUUCCAUCAUGUGAGACACUCAGAAGCUUCUAGCUAUUAGUAUUCCCUAUCUAUUUACUUCCUACCAGGACACUUUCCUUUGGGAGGCGUAAGAGGAGCACAGUAGAAAUUACGCUGGGCCUUUGCGUGUGCAUGAUUCGUCUGCAUGGCCCAAAUGUGAACCACGCAAUGCUCCCAGUGUGACGCAUCCUGGCAGUAACUGGCAGCGUGAAUGGAGAGCCGAGUAAAUGCCCCUCCCAGGUACAGAGGAAGGCUCUGAGAGGGCACAUUUUGUCCCUUGGGUGGCGUCUCUGUUGGCUGGGUGAUACUCGAGUGGCUUGCUGAUGUUUCCAAGACAUGAGAACUGGUUUUGACCAGUGAGGAACUUUCCUUAGGGCUACGUGAGUCGCAGGUUGUCACAGAGUAAAGUGAGCACUGAUUUAUGGAGGGUCGAGGGCCCCAACGUAGAGGCUGUAAAUCACUCCGGAGUUUGUUUUCUUCACUUACACAGUGGUUUCUGGUGAAACUUGGAGCUUUUUGUAGCUAACGGCAUUUCAACUUUGUCCCGAUGGAAAAGGUGGCCGACAAGAGGUGGUAGCAUUUCAGACGCGUUCAUCAGCCUGUGCUGCACAAGGUAAAAAUAGGGGGAAACGGAAUGGACGCUCGUCUCACUCAUUGAACGAAACUCUCCCCCAAGUAGGUCCUGUCAUUUGCAGCUUUCAGGCGGACAGGCUGAGUAACAGACUCCAGCGGACAGGACGGAGACCCGCGGCUGGCCAGGGCCUCAGGCUGCGCUGCCCAGAGUCCGCCUUGGCCUGUGCGGGAGAACUGGCUGGGCCUCAAGUGAGGCUCCGCUCUCCUGGGGCCUCCGCAGGGCAUUUUCACGCUCUUCUGGUGCGAGCGGCUGUCAGCUCCCAGGUGACAAUCUGACACUGCAGGCCUCAGGAGGAGCAGCCGCCCAUUUCCACCUCAGGGCACGCCCACGGGGCAGGGCCGGUGGGUGUGGGUGCUGUCGGGCGGCGCCCUGAGUCCUCUGGCUCUCAGGGUUCUGAGAAGACAGUGGCGCUGACUUUUACAGCGCUCCCUAGAAUCACCCUUUUUUAACCUAAGGAUGAUCAGCUACAGUUUUGAGAUUAACCUUGGGGUAUUCCCUUUAUUUCAAAGUCUAAUCUGCUGUUACCAUGGCAGAAGAAAUAGAUGGGCAAGACCAGAGAGAAACAGCGCUUUCUUCUCUCCCUGCUCAGGAAUCCAGACCUACCAUUGAUGAGAGUUCGUGCAUCAAAACACCCAAGCGUUUCCCUUCCUACGGUCGCCUCGGUUCAGAUGCAUGGAGCGCAUAAGCCCAGCUCACAGUCCAGCACCUUCCGGCAGUUUGCUCUGAGGAGCUGCAGCUGUCCUUCCAGGGAGCGCAGGUGCCGGCCUCGGGUAACUCACAGCAGCGACGACAGCGGUCUGCACGUGUGUCAAAGUGGCUGGAGGUGGUGACCGGAAACUACCCGGGGACAUUUAUCCCCGGGAGAAGUCAGGAGGGCUGGCUCAGGUCCUUUGCCAAAGACAAUGCUGGUAGAAACAGAAUUCCAGGAGUCUGAGGGUUGAAUGAGAGGGGCUUUCCUAGGAGCCCAGACUCCUUCUGCCAGACCCCAGGAGUUGUUGACAAGAGCCAUAGCUGAAGACCCCAGAGCCAAAGCCUGCAUCAGCAAAUCUCCUCUGCUUAUCUGAAGAGCAAGACCCACAGGAUUACGCAGGAGAAAACAAUGUCAGAGCAGAAUUCACGGCCUGGUGAAGAAAGAAUCCGUGUUUCUUCCUUUGGAAUCUCUGCAAGAAAGCUCCUCAUAGAAAACUGAUUUCAGUAUGGUACAGUUUGCCUUAGUUCUCACUAAGGCUUUUCGUCCAUCGGAGGGCAUGGUAACAGUGACUGCGGUGAGAUCCAUCGGGUGCACGAUGUAAGUGCAGUAUGAAGGCGCUGCUGGCAGAUCUAGGCAGGAAGCGUGGCGUGCUGCGGCAGCAGGCAACUGCUCCCACACUGAGGGCCCGGCGCAGGUACUGACCCCACCAUGUGUGGCCCUGAGGGCAGCAGAGCACCUUCGUGCCCAGGGCCUUCGAAACUGCGCCUCUUCGUCACAUGUACUCCCUUGUCUCCAGCUCCGAGCAACGUAGACCCUGAGGGCCGCAGCUGUGCGCAGGACUCCGCCUUCCAGUACAGUUUCCAGGCCAGGUUUCUGCCUCUUUCUCACUAAACCAAGUCGGACCCACAAUGCCACACUCUCGAGAAAGCUUCCAAGCGUGGAGGACUCAAACUGCUGAUACCCGAACUGAUCUAAAUUUAACCUCAGGUAUCUUUGCCUUGUUAGAAUGGAGGCAGUUAGAGCGGGGAUAUAUUUGUUUUCGAGGCGAAAAGAUGAGAUUGACUUAAAUAGGAUGCACGAUGUAUUACUGAAAUCGUUUGAAAGGAGAACUGAUCUGAAAUAAGAUAUUCGGUGCUAUUUUCAGAUGAGGCCAGGAAACAGUGCUACUAUUAGAAAAUACAGUUUCUGACAGUGGAAGUACUUUCUUUUGUGAAAAAGACUAUGAAUAAAUUUAACAAGGAAACUAUAUUCAAAUAGAGCUUCUAACAUCCAACACAUUGUAUAAAUUCAUUAAUAAUAAAUAUAAACAAUAAAGAAAAAUACCAUUGAGAAUAAACUGCAAGGAAGAAACUGGUCCUAUGAAACAUCUUUCCAUGCCAUAAUAAUUGAUUAGUGUAAUAUCUUUUCAAGCUGUACCGCUCAGAAGUAUUUUAAAUAUUAUUUGACUAUAUAUGUAAUGUAUAUAUAUGUGUGUAUGUGUGUGUGCAUGUACUAUUCUUAGCUAAAUAUACACUAUUUUACUCAAGUGAAAUAUGAUAUCUGUCAUUUUUGUAACUAACUUAGAUUCAGUGUGGACUCCUCCAGGAUGUUCUCAUACAAUCAAACAAUUUGAUGUCAUAUUCUUUGCUUCAAUAUAAU